UGGAAAGUGUCUGGCAUCUGGUUAUGUUGGA
rnacentral:piRNA from 1 species